rnacentral:lncRNA from 1 species
GACCUGGCUCCAGCUCUGCUGGAAUUUGUUUGCCCCUGGGAUGUCUACUGAAAAACGUGAGGAACAGCACUUUCCACUCAUAGGACAGGGGCAGGAGCCUGUACCACGAUGGAGCCAAAGGUAAGCUAGGCCUUCUGAACAAGUCCAACCUAAGGGAGUCUUGGAAGCUGUCCAGAAGCUGUGUUUAUAACUGUGCUGAAUUCUAUGGGCUGCCUGCGAAAGGAAUCUAAGCGAAAGACCCCAGGAAACAUCUGAAGUGGCCGUUGAGGCUGGCUGUGUUUCUAAGCUGUUGGAAUGGGAGGAAGAGGUGACUGAAAGGACAGGGAGCAAGUGGAUCACAGACAUCUGGCUACCACACCCUCAUCUCCAUCCUGUCUGAAAUCACACCCCUGGGGCUGGCCUGAAGCACAGCCCAGACAAGCGAGGGUGUAAAAUGAUUCUCCCCGGUCUCACCCUGCACGUCCAUCCUGGGCUUGUUUUCUCUUCUCUGUGCUAAUUUUGCAGCAUACCUUUCAGCUGCGAGGAGAUAAAGCCAUGUUGACUUCACAAGCAAGUCCAAGAGACCAAAGAACUCUGGGUCUUGCUCCUGGUAAACUCUAGAGUCAUGGCUUCCCCCUCGGAUCUGCUUUUCCUCCUGUCAAUAUAUGACAAAGGAGACACAAACACGGUCUCAAAAAUAUACCUUAAGGGGGCUAGUAAAGUGGCUCAGCAAGUGAAGGUGUUUGACAAAAACACCUGAGGUCAACCCCUAGGGCACACAUGGUGGAAAGAAGUAUGCAAACCAGUAGUGUUAUGGCUCCGUAGUCUGGUCAAGGGGAAGAUUUUUACUGUAGAUAUGAGAGAGAACAGCCAGAAGCAUCGGAACGAGUCCAGAGUGGAGAGAGAAAGUAGACUGAACAUAGCCAGAAGACUGGAUCAGGCCACAAGAGAAGCAGGAGCUUCACAAGAGAGAUGGGGAGGGGGAGGAGAGAGAGAGAGAGAGGACAGAGAGAGACUAUCGCAGAAAUAGCAGGGUUAUAAGGAAUAGCUGGGGGAUGUCUAUGAGCUGGGAAACUUUGGGUAGGAGAGGAGGCCAGAAGAGCUAGGACGCUAGCAUGGACCUUGAAAUGAGUGACAGUAAUUGUCAUACUGAAGGAUCCUGGAUGACUCUGUGAGAGUUCUGAGUGAAUAAAGCAGUAAAUAUGAAUAUGUCACAUCUCGCUUUGCAAAUCUAGGUCAACAUUAAAUUGGAUAUUUAAUGUUUACUUAGCAGGUUAACAUUUACCGGGUGUCUUAUAUUUAAUGCCCCAGUUCAUAAUGAAAGCUUCCUGCAGGCUGGUGCCAGCCAGGCUCUAACUGGCUCCAAAGCAUUGUCAUCCUUGGUACUGUCCCCCUUGGUGCGCCACUCCACACUGUAGGACUGACCUGUGUCACCAAUAGACUCUGCAAGAAUGGCGGGUACAGUCUCCAGGGUUAGACAGUCGUGGACAUUUCGAUUCUCACCUCAUUCUGUCUUGGGUCACUCCCUCUGGGCAAGAAAGCGGAUGUCUGUAAGUACGUUCAAGUCUCCGUGGAGAAGCCCACAUAAGUGACAACAGGCGAGAAUAACUAGAAAGAAGAGCAUCCGUUCCCCCUGGGAGCCUUCGGAUACCUGCAGUCACUGCUAAUACCAUUUGGGUUUUUUGCUUGUUUUAUAUAAUGUCUUUCUUGAAAUAUAAUUCACGUGCCAUAUAAUUCAACCACUUAAAAGGUACGGUUUGGCGGCAUUUUAGAACAGUGGCAGAUACACGUAAGCCAUCAACACCUGAGCCCUUUAGCUGUCAGCUCCUCAUUUCCCCAGCCUGCCUCACAAAGCAACCACCAAACAACUUCUAGAUCCAUCUAGAUUCACCUCUGUCAAUUUGCCACUUAGAGAUAUUUGAAGAAGUAGACUCCUUUAGACUAGGUUUUUUUUUUUCAGUUUAUUUAUUACUGUAUGUUUAUGUGCAUGAUUCAGGGAGGCAGGGACAUACAUGCCAUGGUGUGAUUGGGGGGUCAGAGGACAGCUUUAUCAGCCUUCACUCUCCUACUCUAGGUGGGUUCUGGGAAUGAAGCCUGGGUCACUAGGCUUGCCUGGAAAACACCUUCACCCACUGAGUCUUUCCACUGGGCCAGGGUGUAGUAGUUUCUGACUGACAGGUAUUUACCGUUAUGUUUUCAAAGUCAGUCCCUGUUAUAGCAUGUGUCAGAACCUCAUUUCCUUUUAUGGCUGAAUAGAAUUCUGUUUCCAUCGUUUAUACGUGCAUUUUGCUUAUGCAUUCGUGGACAUUGGGUUGCUUCCAACUUUGGGCUAUUGUGAACACUGUUACUAUAAACACUGAUAACAGGU